rnacentral:lncRNA from 1 species
GUGAGUAAAGUCGAAAGAAAGGGAAAGUGUAUAAGGCCGGCCGCGACUCGACUCAGUCUCGCAUGCGCAUUCCGCGCAUUGGUGUUCCUCCAAGAGUCGCGAAGAGGCAUCGCGUCGACGAGAGUAUCAGGACGAACAUCGAGACGGUGCCACGCUCUGGCCUCCUCCUGGUCUCUAUUCGGUGGUUUUUUUUUUAUGAGAGACAAGCGUCAAGUGCCGACGAAGGAAGCAAGAUCCUGACGGCAUCCCGAGGGAUGCAAAUAGUGCGAGCGAGCAUGGUCGAAGGGAGGACUGGAUCGCGUCCGGGAGCGUCUCGGAGUUUCCGACGCGCCUCCGAGACUCGUCCACAGGUGGAGCACUAACAGAGAAGCUGGAUUUGGACGAUGACCAUAAUGAUAGGUUCGGUCCUUGGGAUUUCUCCAAUAUGGUGGCUGUUAGCAUAUGCUAGCCUAUUGUUGCUCCUAUCGCCACUGGUCUUAGUGACGAUAGUGUUCCUGCCAAACUUCCCGAUUUUGUUACUCAGGAGGAUGUGCUACAUACCUAUAGAGCCGAUUUAGGUGGAACCGAGGAAGCGAGAUCUCACAGCCCUAGUUUUAAUGUUAUCUGAUAAGAGUGUUACAUUUAUUAUGUAUUCCGAGAAAGUGCGUAGAAGUAGUCAAAAGAAGAGCAAUAAGUCGUAGACGAUCUGGAAACUUGAGUAAAUAAUUAUGUCUCGAAUUACUACUUCACUGAAGUUAUACGGAAACCGGUGCCACUCAAGGUGUGCGCGAAUUUUUUAAAUAAUUAUUAACUUACUCCCUGGAACUAUGAGAAGGGGAUUUUUUUUCUAUCUAAGCCCGAAAAGACUACGUCACUGAGUUUUACAUUGCGUUACAUUUAAUUUAAUGUCCGAAUAUUAAGGUUUACGUAUCACAACGAAUCCGCUCCCAUGUUCCUCUUUUUAUACCAUAUUUUUUACUUUUAUACUUUUCACUCAGCGUUAUUUUCACGUAGCCUCCCCGUAUCUUAGAUGUACUGGAAAUCGUAGCCUUCGUCAUAGAAACAUUUUUAAACUAAAUCAUGAGACUUCGCCUCGUGAUACAAUCGUCGUUAUUAAGGCGUCUUUUAUGAUAAGACAUAUCUGAAAAUAUAUUCUCAUGUAAAACCGAA